rnacentral:lncRNA from 1 species
GCGCACAGAUUAAUACCGAUGCAGCAUUUUAACCGGGAAGUAUUCCAGGUAUUGUUAUUUAUAUUUUUACCACUGGGAAGGGAUUAGCAAUCAUCAAUAUUGAUUACAGAAUAGAAUAUGAGAUUGAGCAUCUAUCAUUGCAUGUAUAAUUGAGAACAUUAUAUCUAACUCUUCAUACAGGGAUAAGUGUCACAUAAAGGAUAUAUGAAAUAAUAAUAGUGACAAAGAUAAUUAAUCUGAUCUAGCCACAUAAUAAAUAUGAUAAGAACCUCAAUUAGAUACUCUAGAAAGUCAUUAUCAUGGUAUUAGAACGAACUACAAGAAUAUUCCCUAAGUUAUUCUCAACUAUAUAGUCUAG